UUGGGAUGAGCAGGGAUAACGUGAGCCUUUGGGGAUGGGGGUAAGGUUUUGGGGUGUCUGCGUGCUGAAGGGAUGUGUGGAAGGCCUUGUCAGCACAAAGCAGAGCCCUGAGUGGGGGCAUGGGUGUGUUUGCUUUCAAAGUGCUUGGGUUUGUUGAAGAGUGUGGGAAGAGGGUUCUUUGAGGGAUAUUAGGAUGUUUAAUGCAGGGGAGGAGAGGUGGGAGUGAGGGGUAGUUCUGUGUAAUGUGAGUAGAACAGGAUGGAUGUAGGAUGGGUCCUUAGGUGGGAUCGUCAGGGGACAGGGAUGAGCUGCUGCGUUUGGGGAAGCAUCAGGAUUGAAGCAUAUGGGGUGGGUGAAUAUUUGGGACCAGGUGAAUUUGGUGUCUCUGAGAGGUGAAGGUGGGGCAGAGCCUCAGAGCAUCACAGAGUUGUUGCAGUGUGGUUUGGAGCAUUGUCUGUUGGAGCAGUGGGAUUGAUGUGGGAGCUGGAUGCUGGGGUUGGAGGUUUGUAUGUGCUUUUUUUCUGGUAAUCCACAGGAGUGUGUGCAGACAGAUUUGUGAUGGUAAGGGUUUUUUCCACAUGCUUCCCCUUGGGGAUAAGAGUAAGCCUGUAGGAUUUAUAGGAGCCUAAAAGCUCUGGAUAUGCACAAAUCCUGUGUUAAACUUUGAGAUAGUAAUGUGUUUUCAAAUUGCUUUUAUUCACUGCUCAGUCUGGAAGGUGAGUCUGGGGUGUCUGUAGCUGCUCAGCGCUCCUGGGGGCUUGGAGGCAGCUCACUGGCAAGGAUCAGGUGGAUACUGGUGCAAUCUUAGAAAAUGAGAAAUUUAACACUUGUCUGGAUUUGUUGUUUUAUAUAUCUGAGAAGAAGAUAAACUCCACUUUGUGAUCCCUCAGGGGGGUGAUAAAUCUCCCUCAUGAACCACAUCCUUGUUGGGUGAGACCCAAAGCAGCACUGGAGCUGCAGCUCAGGUUUUGUGUUUGAUGAGUCAACCUGAAUCUGUUUGAUGUUCAUCCCACCUGCAGCUGUCCAGGGCUCCUUCUGGAGAUCACCUGCCUGAGCAAGGAUGCUUUAGGGCAAUAGUUUUGUUCAGAUAUCAAGCUGUCAUAUGUCCAAAAAAAUUCACAUUCUCCUUCAGGGCCAUGGGAACAUCCACUAAAGCUUUUGGCUCUUCCUUCAGCAGGAAGGAGAGAACUGGACAAAGCAGAUGGGCUUGAAGCUGGACACCUCUAGAGAGCAGGGAAAUGUGUCUGAGCAGGGAGAGACAGUGAAUACUUGAGAGAAAUCACAUCUUUUGGGAGCAGUGUGCCAUUCUUGGAAGGAAACCUGCUUUUGCUGAGCAAAGGAUCCCUCUGAUGGGCAGCUGGCAGCAUUAGGCCCUUCAUCAAGAAGGGAUGAUAUGAAGUGCUGUUAAAUCCUCUGACACCGUGCCCUGGAUCCUCAUGGUUGUCCUCAUGAAUACUCCCGUGGAGAAUGUCCAUGAUCUUCUUUGCCUGCGUGGUGAGGGUGAGGGAUGGGCUUCCCCUCUCAGCCUCCACAGAUUUCCAUCUCAACCAGGACUUUCUGGAGUGCAGGAAGAGGCUGAAGGCUCUGUCCUCCAUCCUGGCGCGGUACCCCAGUCGGGGCACGGCCAGAGGACGUAACCUCAGCA